UAUCUGUUAUCUUCACGCUUAUUAUUGAUUACAACUAAAAUCAUCUAUGCUUCAGUCGAAAUUCCGACUUAUGAUUCACCCUGCAUGCCCUUUAGGCGUUGCAAAAAUUAGCCCCCCCGCCCCAGCUCCGUCAGGUCUCCAGCAAGCCCCAGUCAACCACCCCCAGUACCCCGCCUCCUGGCCGCCCCGCCCCGGGCCCUGCCCCGCCCAUCGCCCCCGCCCCCUCGGGUCCGAGCUUGCCCCGCUUGCGCCCGGCCAGGGCAGAGCCUGGGUUCCUGGGGAGUCGCGGUCCCUCCCGCGCGGCGGCUCCCGGCGUUUCGGCCCGGCUGCCUACAGCGGUGGGUGGGGGCCGGAGCGUCCCCCUGUGCACCAGGCUCGAGGGCACAGCGCCUGUGCAAAUGGGCAGGAAGAGCAAGAAGCCAGCACCUGAUUCCAGGGCUGCCCCGGGGGACAGCGGAGACACCAGACUGACACAGGCACUCCCUGGGGACGCGGCAGCAUCUGUCACAACUUAAAAAGCGCCGAUCCGAUCCAUCAACGUGGGACUUCACCUCGGUGCCUUUGCUCUUCAAAAGUAUUCUCACAUUGUGCAGAGGGGUCUGUGCACGUGCGUCAAUGGAGGAACUCGGUCAGUGUUCCUGCCUUCAGAGUACAGCACAACACCUUUUAAGUGGAAAAAAACGGUCGCGUUCCGACAUGAAGAGCUCAGAAUCUAUUUUUAAAUGAAAAGGACCAGUUAGAGGUGGGAGCUGUGGUCCAGCAGGUGAGGCCACUACUUACAGAUGCCCACAUCCUGUAUUGAGUCCCUAGCUCAAGUUCCAGCUACUUUGUUCCCAACCCAGCUUCCUGCUAAUGCUUCCAUGCCCUUAGUACCCUGCACCCUUGUGGGAGACCCAGGUGGAGUUCCAAGGUCCUAGCUUCAGCCUGGCCCAGCCUUGGCUGGUGUAGGCAUUUGGAGAGUGAACAAGUGGAAGGAAGGAGCCUCUUUCUGUCUCUACUUCUCUUUCUCUCCUCUCUGUAUUUCUAGUAGAUGAAAUAAAAUAAAUAAUAAUAAUAAUAAUAAUAAUAAU
rnacentral:lncRNA from 1 species